rnacentral:misc_RNA from 1 species
GAUGAAGAACGUAGCGAAAUGCGAUAAGUAGUGUGAAUUGCAGAAUUCAGUGAAUCAUCGAAUCUUUGAACGCUCAUUGCGCCUCUUGGUAUUCCAUGGGGCAUGCCUGUUCGAGCGUCAUUUGUACCUUCAAGCUCUGCUUGGUGUUGGGUGUUUGUCCUUGCUCUAGUGGCGGGACUCGCCUUAAAGUAAUUGGCAGCCAGUGUUUUGGUUUUGAAGCGCAGCACAAGUCGCGAUUCAAGUCUAUACGCUAGUUUCCACAAGUCUUUUAUCACUUUUGACCUCGGAUCAGGUAGGGAUACCCGCUGAACUUAAGCAUAUCAAUAAGCGGAGGA